rnacentral:rRNA from 1 species
GAUGAACGCUGGCGGCGUGCUUAACACAUGCAAGUCGAACGGAAAGGCCCAAGCUUGCUUGGGUACUCGAGUGGCGAACGGGUGAGUAACACGUGGGUGAUCUGCCCUGCACUUCGGGAUAAGCCUGGGAAACUGGGUCUAAUACCGGAUAGGACCACUUCUUGGAUGUUGUGGUGGAAAGUUUUUUCGGUGUGGGAUGAGCUCGCGGCCUAUCAGCUUUGUGGUGGGGUAAUGGCCUACCAAGGCGUCGACGGGUAGCCGGCCUGAGAGGGUGUACGGCCACAGUGGGACUGAGAUACGGCCCAGACUCCUACGGGAGGCAGCAGUGGGGAAUAUUGCACAAUGGGCGCAAGCCUGAUGCAGCGACGCCGCGUGGGGGAUGACGGCCUUCGGGUUGUAAACUCCUUUCGCUAGGGACGAAGCGUUUUGUGACGGUACCUGGAGAAGAAGCACCGGCUAACUACGCG